UCUGUAAGAAGAAGAAACUAUGACCUGCACGGCUGUGCUGCUCCUCCUCCCUGACGAAAUCAGUGGCUAUACCCAGAGAAGAAGAAAUCGGUGGACGACGGGGUGGCUACUCCUCCUCCCUGACACAGUGGAUGACGCAGUGGCUGCUCUUCCUCCCUAACGUGGUGUUCCUCCUCCUGAUGUAGUGGACAACACGGUGGCUGCUCCUCCUCCCUAACUUGGUGGAUGAAAUCGGUGGUUGCUCUUCCUCCCUGAUGCGAAACUGAUUCAAAGCAUUAGAGGAAUUUAGAGAAUUUGCUUGUGACAUUCAAACUUCCCUGGAUAAAGAUGAAUUAGAGAUUUAUCUAAAGAAAGGUUUGAUUCACACCAAUGAAGAUGAUUUAAAGUAUGAUGUAUGUGUUGAAUUUCGGAAGAAUAAUGAGGAUAGAUUUUCAACCCUGUCAGUUAUGGCCAGAGAUGUUUUAAGUAUUCCUAUCACUAUGGUAGCAUCUGAAUCUGCAUUUAGUAUUGGUGGAUGCAUUUUAACAAAAUACAGAGGUUGCACCUUUCAUGAGCACGUCCAAAUGCUUAUUUGCACAAGGAGUUGGAAUCUCUAUUCAGAGCUCUUCUAAUUGCCGUCACGAACUGCUCCUCCUUGGCCGUCGUCUCCUUGUUGUAACGAGCUCUGUUCUUGGCAUCUUUAUGAGGUCACUGUCAGCACCGUGUUCCUCCGAGCUCACACUCUCUCUGAGCUCACUCUGCCACCGCCAUUCCUCCCUCGACGUCUCACUGUUGAAGCACAGUUGAAUCAUUUGAACUUCUAAACCAAUGAAUCAGUAGCUCGAGCGAUUUGAUGAUCGGUUCGAUUUUUAGAACCUUGUAAUUUAAUGUCCAAUUUAUUUUUUAAAAUCUUAUUUAUAUGGAAUUUGAGGCUUUAGUUAGUAUUGUUAUUUUAAUUUGUGCAUUUUUAAGAUUUAUAUUAGAUUGUAUUUAUAUUUUUUUAUGUUUGUUUAUAACUUAUAUAUUAUAUUUUUAUAAUUUGGUUAUUUUGGUUGAACCACGAU